GACGAACCGAGCGAACGUUGUUCGGAAUUACUGGGCGUAAAGGGUGCAUAGGUGGCCUUGUUAGUCAGACGUGAAAUCCCCAAGCUUAACCUGGGAACUGCGUCUGAUACUGGGAGGCUUGAGUAUGGGAGAGGGAUGUAGAAUUCCAGGUGUAGCGGUGAAAUGCGUAGAUAUCUGGAGGAAUACCGGUGGCGAAGGCGGCAUCCUGGACCAUUACUGACGCUGAAUCGCGAAAGCUAGGGGAGCAAACGGG
rnacentral:rRNA from 1 species